UGCCAGAUGGCUCACUUGGAAAAAGCAUCACGUUGCGACCGUCACGGCGCGGGUUCGAUCCCCGCCUCGUAC